rnacentral:pre_miRNA from 1 species
AGCUUUCUGUAUCCUUGCUGAGAUUUCGUCACACACCAGACGACAAGUGCUGAUGAGGCUCCAAGAUAAGUGAAGUG